rnacentral:rRNA from 1 species
AGGACGAACGCUGGCGGCGUGCUUAACACAUGCAAGUCGAACGGUGACGGAGGGGCUUGCCCCUCCUGAUCAGUGGCGAACGGGUGAGUAACACGUGAGUAACCUGCCCCAGACUCUGGAAUAACCCCGGGAAACCGGAGCUAAUACCGGAUACGAGACGGAGCCGCAUGGCUACCGUCUGGAAAGUUUUGCGGUCUGGGAUGGACUCGCGGCCUAUCAGCUUGUUGGUGAGGUAGUGGCUCACCAAGGCGACGAC